rnacentral:snoRNA from 1 species
AACUCAUGGUGUGGGCAUGAACGGAUCAUCUCCUUGAACCGCUCCCAAGCUUCAGCAAGUGUCUCAUCUUUCUCUUGCUCAAAUGAGGAGAUCUUCUUUCUUAUGUC